GGGCCCGUAGUGUAGUUUGGAAUCACAGAGGCCUCCGGAGCCUCAAACUCGGGUUCGAAUCCCUCAAAUUGGGCGAAAUUCCCGACGGGCCCG
rnacentral:tRNA from 1 species